GUGAACGCUGGCGGUAGGCCUAACACAUGCAAGUCGAACGGCAGCACAGUAAGAGCUUGCUCUUACGGGUGGCGAGUGGCGGACGGGUGAGGAAUACAUCGGAAUCUACUUUUUCGUGGGGGAUAACGUAGGGAAACUUACGCUAAUACCGCAUACGACCUACGGGUGAAAGCAGGGGAUCUUCGGACCUUGCGCGAUUGAAUGAGCCGAUGUCGGAUUAGCUAGUUGGCGGGGUAAAGGCCCACCAAGGCGACGAUCCGUAGCUGGUCCGAGAGGAUGAUCAGCCACACUGGAACUGAGACACGGUCCAGACUCCUACGGGAGGCAGCAGUGGGGAAUAUUGGACAAUGGGCGCAAGCCUGAUCCAGCCAUACCGCGUGGGUGAAGAAGGCCUUCGGGUUGUAAAGCCCUUUUGCUGGGAAAGAAAAGCAGCAGGUUAAUACCCCGCUGUUCUGACGGUACCCAAAGAAUAAGCACCGGCUAACUUCGUG
rnacentral:rRNA from 1 species